GAUGAAGAACGCAGCGAAAUGCGAUAAGUAAUGUGAAUUGCAGAAUUCAGUGAAUCAUCGAAUCUUUGAACGCACAUUGCGCCCGCCAGUAUUCUGGCGGGCAUGCCUGUUCGAGCGUCAUUUCAACCAUCAAGCCCCCGGCUUGUGUUGGGGACCUGCGGCUGCCGCAGGCCCUGAAAACCAGUGGCGGGCUCGCUAGUCACUCCGAGCGUAGUAAUACAUCUCGCUCAGGGCGUGCUGCGGGUUCCGGCCGUUAAAAAGCCUUAUUUACCCAAGGUUGACCUCGGAUCAGGUAGGAAGACCCGCUGAACUUAAGCAUAUCAUAGCGGAGGA
rnacentral:misc_RNA from 1 species